AUUGAACGCUAGCGGGAUGCCUUACACAUGCAAGUCGAACGGCAGCACGGACUUCGGUCUGGUGGCGAGUGGCGAACGGGUGAGUAAUGUAUCGGAACGUGCCUAGUAGCGGGGGAUAACUACGCGAAAGCGUAGCUAAUACCGCAUACGCCCUACGGGGGAAAGCAGGGGAUCGCAAGACCUUGCACUAUUAGAGCGGCCGAUAUCGGAUUAGCUAGUUGGUGGGGUAACGGCUCACCAAGGCGACGAUCCGUAGCUGGGUUGAGAGGACGACCAGGCACACUGGGACUGAGACACGGGCCAGACUCCUACGGGAGGCAGCAGUGGGGAAUUUUGGACAAUGGGGGAAACCCUGAUCCAGCCAGCCCGCGUGUGCGAUGAAGGCCUUCGGGUUGUAAAGCACUUUUGGCAGGAAAGAAACGUCAUGGGUUAAUACCCCGUGAAACUGACGGUACCUGCAGAAUAAGCACCGGCUAACUACGUGCCAGCAGCCGCGGUAACAC
rnacentral:rRNA from 1 species